rnacentral:rRNA from 1 species
GACAAAAAAGACUAGUGUUAAUCAUCUUUAUUAGGUUUAAAGGGUAUCUAGACAGCAUAUUUAGUCUCAUAAAGAUUACAAAUAUUGCUAGAGUUUUAUAAGAUAAGCAUAUGGGAAUUAUUAGUGUAAAGAUAAAAUUUUUUAAUACUAUUAAGACGGUUAAGGGCGAAAGCAUGCUUUUAUGUAAAAACUGACGUUGAGAGACGAAGGCUUGGGUAACGAAAAGG